GGAAGCCCGGCUCCGGGCCAGCAUCCGAGAGCCCGGACUGGAGGCUUUGGUAUCAGGAUGAUGCUGGCCUCAUAAAAUGAGUUAAGGAGGAUUCCCUCUUUUUCUAUUGAUUGGAAUAGUUUCAGAAGGAAUGGUACCAGCUCCUCCUUGUGCCUCUGGUAGAAUUCGGCUGUGAAUCCAUCUGGUCCUGGACUUUUUUUGGUUGG
rnacentral:lncRNA from 10 species